rnacentral:rRNA from 1 species
GUUAGGAAUAUUGGACAAUGGGCGCAAGCCUGAUCCAGCCAUGCCGCGUGAGUGAUGAAGGCCUUCGGGUUGUAAAGCUCUUUAGCCGAUGAUUAUAAUGACUGUAGUCGGAAAAUAAGCCCCGGCUAACUUCGUGCCAGCAGCCGCGGUAAUACGAAGGGGUCGAGCGUUAUUCGGAAUCACUGGGCGUAAAGCGUGCGUAGGCGGCUUUGCAAGUUGGGAGUGAAAGCCCAGUGCUCAACCCUGGAAUUGCUCUCAAAACUGCAAGGCUCGAAUUCGGGAGAGGAUAGCGGCAUUGUCAGUGUAGCAGUGAAAUGCGUAGAUAUUGACAGGAACACCAGUGGCGUAAGCGGCUAUCUGGACCGAUAUUGACGCUGAGGCACGAAAGCGUGGGGAUCAAACAGGAUUAGAUACCCCUGUAGUCC